rnacentral:rRNA from 1 species
UACGUAGGGGGCAAGCGUUGUCCGGAAUUAUUGGGCGUAAAGGGCGCGUAGGCGGAUCAUUAAGUCCGGUGUGAAAGAUCAGGGCUCAACCCUGAGAGUGCAUCGGAAACUGGUGAUCUUGAGGACAGGAGAGGAAAGUGGAAUUCCACGUGUAGCGGUGAAAUGCGUAGAUAUGUGGAGGAACACCGGUGGCGAAGGCGACUUUCUGGACUGUAACUGACGCUGAGGCGCGAAAGCGUGGGGAGCAAACAGG